UAGGGAAUCUUCCGCAAUGGACGCAAGUCUGACGGAGCAACGCCGCGUGAGUGAAGAAGGAUUUCGGUUCGUAAAACUCUGUUGUUAGAGAAGAACAGCGCAUAGAGUAACUGUUAUGCGUGUGACGGUAUCUAACCAGAAAGCCACGGCUAACUACGUGCCAGCAGCCGCGGUAAUACGUAGGUGGCAAGCGUUGUCCGGAUCUAUUGGGCGUAAAGCGAGCGCAGGCGGUCAAUUAAGUCUGAUGUGAAAGCCCCCGGCUCAACCGGGGAGGGUCAUUGGAAACUGGUUGACUUGAGUGCAGAAGAGGAGAGUGGAAUUCCAUGUGUAGCGGUGAAAUGCGUAGAUAUAUGGAGGAACACCAGUGGCGAAGGCGACUCUCUGGUCUGUAACUGACGCUGAGGCUCGAAAGCGUGGGUAGCAAACAGG
rnacentral:rRNA from 1 species